rnacentral:lncRNA from 1 species
CUUGCAGAGCUUGUGUUUUUGGUACACCUGGAAAGUUCCGGCGUCCAGGUACUCAUCGUGGCUGGUGCCAAUGGACCCCAAGACGGCUAUCAAAUUCCUGGUCGUGAACGGUUUCUGGUUGAUCAUGGCAAUAUACUUUCUGCGUUGCAUCGAGUCGCUAGCCCUUGCUUGCGACGAGUACGAUCACGCCAAGCGGUCGUCCAACGUUCACGCAUGGCUUCGAGUAAGCUGCAUCGACUCCUCAGCUUCGCACUCAUUUACAAUGGUAAGCUACAACUUGUGCCUCUUCAUAGCGCUG